UGUUACUUUUGCCGGUGUUUGCAUGCCUAGAAGGAGCUAUGAGGAUGGGCUUUGAAGCUGGGAGCAGCUCAGUAAUUCAGAGCAGGGGCCUGAGGCGACAUGUGUUCAGGGAGAAGCUCCAGCCGUGUGGAAGCGUGGGGGACUGGGACCCAGAGCAUGACUCAGAGACCACAGGGCUGAAAAGGCCACAUUCCCUGAGGCUGCAUAGAGAGAUCAGCAGCGUAGCCCUUCCAGCGCACCUAGCACUGGGGAGGCCACAGCAGUCCAUUUUCCCAGUUUCCAAGGCUACACUUUUCCGAGGACCAGUGAUCAUCCAUCAAUUUACAUCCCUAAAAGAAACCCAUGUCCAGUCCAUACCUACCUAUUCAACAUGGUAGCUAUCUUCUUGUUAGCUCAGCCUUAAAUGCCACAUUCUGACAAGGGCCACCUGGUUCCAAGCUCGAGUUCACCCAGCAGCAUCUUAUGACAAGCUGCAAAAACACCUGACAGCUCCAGCUCACAGCCUUUUAGCAUGUGCAAGACUCUACUUACAGGGCCGUCAAUGGCAUGGGCAGGCUGUUUGAAACCCUGUCCCCAGUGAAUGUCCCAGAGCACCCGUGCAGAGCACCCUAAAAAGGCUGCUAACCCUCUGCAGAGGCACUCAGCCCCUAUUUCCCCCACUGUCCCCAGGGAGCUGACAGAUGCAAAGACAUAACGGUGGUGUGCAUAGCGA